GGCUCCUUGUUAUCCAUAAAUAAGGAGUCGGACCUGCCCAGUGAAUUUUUAACGGCCGCGGUACUCUGACCGUGCAAAGGUAGCAUAAUCAUUUGCCUUAUAAUUGAAGGCUUGUAUGAAUGGUUUGACAAGAAUGUAGCUGUCUCUUUAUAAUUAAGUAGAAUUUUAUUUAUAGGUGAAGAAGCCUAUAUACUAUUGAAAGACAAGAAGACCCUAUCGAGCUUGAAAAGAAUUAAUAAAUUUUGAAUACUUAAUAUAACAUAAAAAAUUAGUUAUUAAAAAUUUUGGUUGGGGCGACUGAGGAACAAUUAAAGCUUCCUUUAACUUAAAAAUAUAGACAAGUGAGGAUCCAAAAAGUUUGAUUAAAGAAAUUAGUUACCGUAGGGAUAACAGCAUUAUCUUUUUUGAGAGUUCUAAUCGAAAAAAAGGUUUGUGACCUCGAUGUUGGACCAGAAUAUCCUGAAGAUGCAGCCGUCUUCAAGGGUUGGUCUGUUCGACCAUUAAAAUUCUACGUGAUCUGAGUUCAGACCGGCGUGAGCCAGGUCAGUUUCUAUCUUCAGUUUUUAUAAUAAAUUUAGUACGAAAGGACCAAUUUACUGCAAGUGUACUUGUUAUAUAUUGAUAUAAUAUAAAGAAAUAUUAAAUUAAUAACACAAAAAUCAAAUUAGCAAAGAUAAUGCAAUUGACUUAGGAUCAAUAGACAUAGGCGAAACUCCUUUAUUUGAUAUAAAUAUAAAGGUGGCAGAUGAA
rnacentral:rRNA from 1 species